GGGUUGUGAGGUUAAGCGACUAAGCGUACACGGUGGAUGCCCUGGCAGUCAGAGGCGAUGAAGGGCGUGCUAAUCUGCGAUAAGCGCCGGUAAGGUGAUAUGAACCGUUAUAACCGGCGAUACCCGAAUGGGGAAACCCAGUGUGAUUCGUCACACUAUCAUUAACUGAAUCCAUAGGUUAAUGAGGCGAACCGGGGGAACUGAAACAUCUAAGUACCCCGAGGAAAAGAAAUCAACCGAGAUUCCCCCAGUAGCGGCGAGCGAACGGGGAGGAGCCCAGAGCCUGAAUCAGCAUGUGUGUUAGUGGAAGCGUCUGGAAAGGCGCGCGAUACAGGGUGACAGCCCCGUACACAAAAGCGCAUGUGCUGUGAGCUCGAUGAGUAGGGCGGGACACGUGGUAUCCUGUCUGAAUAUGGGGGGACCAUCCUCCAAGGCUAAAUACUCCUGACUGACCGAUAGUGAACCAGUACCGUGAGGGAAAGGCGAAAAGAACCCCGGCGAGGGGAGUGAAAAAGAACCUGAAACCGUGUACGUACAAGCAGUGGGAGCCCCACCACUAAGCCAGUGGUGAACUCCACAUACGCAUCCUUUGCUGAGGAUACGGUUAACGGAGCGAAAGCGACGUUCAACCGCAAAAGAAGCAGAGGGGGCUUAGUGGUGGGGUGACUGCGUACCUUUUGUAUAAUGGGUCAGCGACUUAUAUUCUGUAGCAAGGUUAACCGAAUAGGGGAGCCGGAGGGAAACCGAGUCUUAAUUGGGCGUUAAGUUGCAGGGUAUAGACCCGAAACCCGGUGAUCUAGCCAUGGGCAGGUUGAAGGUUGGGUAACACUAACUGGAGGACCGAACCGACUAAUGUUGAAAAAUUAGCGGAUGACCUGUGGCUGGGGGUGAAAGGCCAAUCAAACCGGGAGAUAGCUGGUUCUCCCCGAAAGCUAUUUAGGUAGCGCCUCGUGAAUUCAUCUCCGGGGGUAGAGCACUGUUUCGGCUAGGGGGCCAUCCCGGCUUACCAACCCGAUGCAAACUGCGAAUACCGGAGAAUGUUAUCACGGGAGACACACGGCGGGUGCUAACGUCCGUCGUGAAGAGGGAAACAACCCAGACCGCCAGCUAAGGUCCCAAAGUCAUGGUUAAGUGGGAAACGAUGUGGGAAGGCCCAGACAGCCAGGAUGUUGGCUUAGAAGCAGCCAUCAUUUAAAGAAAGCGUAAUAGCUCACUGGUCGAGUCGGCCUGCGCGGAAGAUGUAACGGGGCUAAACCAUGCACCGAAGCUGCGGCAGCGAACGUAUCACUUAAAGCGAUUCAGCGGGUUACGAUUGACGGAGCGAAGCGACGUCAAAGCGUAUACAAAGUCGAGUCGGUUUAAGGAUACGUUCGUUGGGUAGGGGAGCGUUCUGUAAGCCUGCGAAGGUGGCCUGUGAGGGUUGCUGGAGGUAUCAGAAGUGCGAAUGCUGACAUAAGUAACGAUAAAGCGGGUGAAAAGCCCGCUCGCCGGAAGACCAAGGGUUCCUGUCCAACGUUAAUCGGGGCAGGGUGAGUCGACCCCUAAGGCGAGGCCGAAAGGCGUAGUCGAUGGGAAACGGGUUAAUAUUCCCGUACUUGGUGUUACUGCGAAGGGGGGACGGAGAAGGCUAUGUUGGCCGGGCGACGGUUGUCCCGGUUUAAGCGUGUAGGUGUGUGUUCCAGGUAAAUCCGGUUCACUUUAACACUGAGGCGUGAUGACGAGGCACUACGGUGCUGAAGCAACAAAUGCCCUGCUUCCAGGAAAAGCCUCUAAGCAUCAGGUAACAUCAAAUCGUACCCCAAACCGACACAGGUGGUCAGGUAGAGAAUACCAAGGCGCUUGAGAGAACUCGGGUGAAGGAACUAGGCAAAAUGGUGCCGUAACUUCGGGAGAAGGCACGCUGACACGUAGGUGAAGUGAUUUACUCAUGGAGCUGAAGUCAGUCGAAGAUACCAGCUGGCUGCAACUGUUUAUUAAAAACACAGCACUGUGCAAACACGAAAGUGGACGUAUACGGUGUGACGCCUGCCCGGUGCCGGAAGGUUAAUUGAUGGGGUCAGCGCAAGCGAAGCUCCUGAUCGAAGCCCCGGUAAACGGCGGCCGUAACUAUAACGGUCCUAAGGUAGCGAAAUUCCUUGUCGGGUAAGUUCCGACCUGCACGAAUGGCGUAAUGAUGGCCAGGCUGUCUCCACCCGAGACUCAGUGAAAUUGAACUCGCUGUGAAGAUGCAGUGUACCCGCGGCAAGACGGAAAGACCCCGUGAACCUUUACUAUAGCUUGACACUGAACAUUGAGCCUUGAUGUGUAGGAUAGGUGGGAGGCUUUGAAGCGUGGACGCCAGUCUGCGUGGAGCCGACCUUGAAAUACCACCCUUUAAUGUUUGAUGUUCUAACGUGGACCCGUAAUCCGGGUUGCGGACAGUGUCUGGUGGGUAGUUUGACUGGGGCGGUCUCCUCCUAAAGAGUAACGGAGGAGCACGAAGGUUGGCUAAUCCUGGUCGGACAUCAGGAGGUUAGUGCAAUGGCAUAAGCCAGCUUGACUGCGAGCGUGACGGCGCGAGCAGGUGCGAAAGCAGGUCAUAGUGAUCCGGUGGUUCUGAAUGGAAGGGCCAUCGCUCAACGGAUAAAAGGUACUCCGGGGAUAACAGGCUGAUACCGCCCAAGAGUUCAUAUCGACGGCGGUGUUUGGCACCUCGAUGUCGGCUCAUCACAUCCUGGGGCUGAAGUAGGUCCCAAGGGUAUGGCUGUUCGCCAUUUAAAGUGGUACGCGAGCUGGGUUUAGAACGUCGUGAGACAGUUCGGUCCCUAUCUGCCGUGGGCGCUGGAGAACUGAGGGGGGCUGCUCCUAGUACGAGAGGACCGGAGUGGACGCAUCACUGGUGUUCGGGUUGUCAUGCCAAUGGCACUGCCCGGUAGCUAAAUGCGGAAGAGAUAAGUGCUGAAAGCAUCUAAGCACGAAACUUGCCCCGAGAUGAGUUCUCCCUGAGACUUAGAGUCUCCUGAAGGAACGUUGAAGACGACGACGUUGAUAGGCCGGGUGUGUAAGCGCAGCGAUGCGUUGAGCUAACCGGUACUAAUGAACCGUGAGGCUUAACCUUACAACGCCGAAG
rnacentral:rRNA from 1 species